rnacentral:lncRNA from 1 species
AAGGACUUAGUACUCGAACCAGACGUCGUCGACCCAUGCAUCCUGACCAGAGCGGUGACAAUGACGGUACCGGUGCUCACCCCUAGUUCUCUCUCUCUCUCUCUUCCAGGUUACUCCUACCCUAUCUCAUAUUGAAACAUUGAGGACAAUGUUCGAUUUAAGUGUGGGAGGAGAUUUUAUCGCUUUUUAUCUUUCCUUUAUUUUUAUCGCUUUUUA